rnacentral:rRNA from 1 species
CCCUUAGAUGUUCUGGGCCGCACGCGUGCUACACUGACCGGCGCAACAAGCUUUUUUCCUUGGCUCGACAGGCCUGGGUAAUCUUCGAACGCCGGUCGUGAUGGGGAUAGAUCCUUGCAAUUUUUGAUCUUCAACGAGGAAUUCCUAGUAAAUGCGAGUCAUCAUCUCGCGUUGAUUACGUCCCUGCCCUUUGUACACACCGCCCGUCGCACCUACCGAUUGAAUGGUCCGGUGAAAUCUUCGGAUCUGAGAGAUGUCUGAUUAAUUUCGGACGCCUUUUGGAAAAGUUGUUUAAACCUUACCAUUUAGAGGAAGGUGAAGUCGUAACA